rnacentral:piRNA from 1 species
CAAGAGAAAAUAUAACGACCGGUGGA